CUGGCGGUUGGUGAGUCGUCUUGGAAACCGCGCAGAAGCUCCUAAGCCGGUGUUCGAAACGGAGGAUGCAAAAAAAAAAAAAGCAAAAUAUCCAUGGUAUGACUUAAUGGAGCAUCAGUCCUACUGCCAGAUUUGGAAGGACCGAAGUUAAGUAAUUUCCAAGGUACCUGAUAUGUGGGACUCCCUCCUGCUGAGCCUGACCUUGACUUCAGGAUCCUUUCCAGCCAGG
rnacentral:lncRNA from 1 species